AUAUCUCGGGACUGCGCCGUGCUCUCUGACUCUUCCUCACUCACCAAACACGCAGCGUGCUCUCGCCAUGCACCUCGCCUCUCUCAUCCUCACCCUCUUCCUAGGACAGCUCCUGGGCACCACGGGGCAGAUCACGGUCACCCAGGAUGAUGGACAAGUCAUGCUGAAGCAGGGACACCCCUUCCAGACCAUCUGCAAAUUUCAUCAGAGCAGCGGUUUAACAGGCUUGUUCUGGUACCAGCUGCGGAAAGGCCAAGCCCCACAGCUGCUCUCCUAUCAAGCAGGCUCUGGCCCCAAGCACAGCGGCCGUUCAGAAGUCAGAUGA